UACGUAGGGAGCAAGCGUUGUCCGGAUUUACUGGGCGUAAAGGGCGUGCAGGCGGUCUGUUAAGUUCAGGGUGAAAGCUCCCGGCUCAACUGGGAGAGGUCCUUGGAUACUGGCAGACUUGAGGGAGGUAGAGGAGAGUGGAAUUCCCGGUGUAGUGGUGAUAUGCGUAGAUAUCCGGAGGAACACCGGUGGCGAAGGCGGCUUCCUGGACCGACACUGACGCUGAGGCGCGAAAGCUAGGGGAGCAAACGGG
rnacentral:rRNA from 1 species